rnacentral:ncRNA from 2 species
AUAAUACAAGAAAAAAUUAAUUGUAUAAAGAUGUAAUAAGGUCAUCAGUCUCUACCCAUUACCGUAAAUAAUGGACUACAAUUAUUAUGAAAUUAAUU